CAUGAUGGGAGUGAAGGGGGAGUGAACCUCUGCCGGGUCCGGGUUAUCUGACACAAAAGGAGAGUAACUCCAUUAGAUAUGGAGUGGCGAUCAAGUUCUUGCGCCGUACAGGUGAAAAUAGUACACUGUCGAGCUCCGCCAAGGUGACGCCCCGGUGGUGGACGAAGCAGUCCUUGAGGAAGCGCCACAGCUGCAUGCGGGACAGCAGGAAGGCGCCACCUGGAAUCUGAGGUUGGCCCAGUCGGCUGUAGAAACGGUAGAUGGACCUCAGCUCGGUCUUGUGCCUCAGCAGCACAAACCGCACCUGUUGAACCAAGCGUCAGCGGAUUUUCUCCAAAGCGCAAUCGAUGUUGACAGUCAUGUCCGGUCCAAGACAAGAUUCGUCUGUGCCUGAUGUGGCACAAGAGGCAAAUUGUAACAUUUGAACAUUUCCAAGGGCCCUUGGUCCCGUUUGGGCCAGACUUGAGCUGGAGCCGAUCCCAGCUGAUCGGUGGACAUUUUCGAGCAGGUGUGCCAAACUCAUUUGAGUUCACAUUUACACCAAUGACAUCUCAAGUGGCCUGGACCACAAUA